CAGCGCGUGAGGCGGUGGAAGGGGCGGGGCGGGGGGCCCGGCCCGGCGGGCAGUAACGGCCGCGCGCGCGGGGAGGGGCCGUGCGCAACAACGGCCGAUCCCCCUCAGCGCCGCCGCCGCUGCCGCCGCUGCCCGCGGGAGGAGGAUGCGCCGCCUCGGCCCGGCCGCUCCAGCCACACCGGCCAGACCAUGAGGGAGCCGCCCCGCCGGCCCCUGGCGCUGGGCUCCUGCCUCCUGCUCUGCGCCCUGCUCUGGCUUCCUGUUUGGAAUGUCUUUUGUAAAGACACUCUCUCAUCAGCAGUGCAGUAUGCUUCAGGUGAUGCUUGUGCCCUGGCCAGCGAGGAUGAAAAUGUCCAGGAAAAGGGGGAAGAGGCUGCUCCCAGCCUGGAGCCUGAGGACUCCAGCACACGCAGUUACUCCAUGGAAGAGCUGCUCAAUGACUUGACAAAAUCUGACCAGGCAAGGCUUUUGUUUCAUUCACUGUCUUCAUACAGUCUUCAAAUGCUUCUUGGAUUUCAGUCUUUCAUUUUGGUUAUCUAAAGUUCAUAGGAACCAUCUCUCACAUUUCACCUGUACAGUGGGUUGCUGUCAGACUCAUGUUUCCAGUAAAAGAGAAAAUGUGUGAGCUGA
rnacentral:lncRNA from 1 species